AGUGAACGCUGGCGGUAGGCCUAACACAUGCAAGUCGAACGGCAGCACAGUAAGAGCUUGCACUUACGGGUGGCGAGUGGCGGACGGGUGAGGAAUACAUCGGAAUCUACUUUUUCGUGGGGGAUAACGUAGGGAAACUUACGCUAAUACCGCAUACGACCUACGGGUGAAAGCAGGGGAUCUUCGGACCUUGCGCGAUUGAAUGAGCCGAUGUCGGAUUAGCUAGUUGGCGGGGUAAAGGCCCACCAAGGCGACGAUCCGUAGCUGGUCUGAGAGGAUGAUCAGCCACACUGGAACUGAGACACGGUCCAGACUCCUACGGGAGGCAGCAGUGGGGAAUAUUGGACAAUGGGCGCAAGCCUGAUCCAGCCAUACCGCGUGGGUGAAGAAGGCCUUCGGGUUGUAAAGCCCUUUUGUUGGGAAAGAAAAGCAGCAGGUUAAUACCCCGCUGUCCUGACGGUACCCAAAGAAUAAGCACCGGCUAACUUCGUG
rnacentral:rRNA from 1 species